rnacentral:tRNA from 1 species
ACUCAAAUAGCUUAUAUUUAGAGCAUGACACUGAAGAUGUUAAGGAAAUAAAUUUAUUUUUGAGUA